rnacentral:rRNA from 1 species
UGGUGGAGUGAUUUGUCUGGUUAAUUCCGUUAACGAACGAGACCUCAGCCUGCUAACUAGUUAUGCGAACCUUCUACCGGGUGAAGCGUCCGCUGGUUGUGGGGCCUCGGUCCUGCUCCGUCGGGCGUGGAUCCUUGAGGAGUUCGUAGCCAACUUCUUAGAGGGACUAUUUGUAUCUAGCAAAUGGAAGUUUGAGGCAAUAACA